rnacentral:rRNA from 1 species
AGAAUCAACGCUGGCGGCGUGCCUAACACAUGCAAGUCGAACGCGAAAGCCCCGCAAGGGCAAGUAGAGUGGCAAACGGGUGAGUAACACGUGGUGACCUGCCUUCGAGUGGGGGAUAACGUCCCGAAAGGACGCUAAUACCGCAUAACAUGCUGUCUUUGAACAGAGGGACAUCAAAGCUGGGGACCGCAAGGCCUGGCGCUUGAAGAGGGCCUGCGUCCGAUUAGCUAGUUGGUGGGUAACGGCCCACCAAGGCUUCGAUCGGUA